GAUGAAGAACGUAGCGAAAUGCGAUAAGUAGUGUGAAUUGCAGAAUUCAGUGAAUCAUCGAAUCUUUGAACGCACAUUGCGCCCCUUGGUAUUCCAUGGGGCAUGCCUGUUCGAGCGUCAUUUGUACCUUCAAGCUCUGCUUGGUGUUGGGUGUUUGUCUCGCCUCUGCGUGUAGACUCGCCUCAAAACAAUUGGCAGCCGGCGUAUUGAUUUCGGAGCGCAGUACAUCUCGCGCUUUGCACUCAUAACGACGACGUCCAAAAGUACAUUUUUACACUCUUGACCUCGGAUCAGGUAGGGAUACCCGCUGAACUUAAGCAUAUCAAAAGCGUGGA
rnacentral:misc_RNA from 1 species